CCUACGGGUGGCAGCAGUCGAGAAUCAUUCACAAUGGGGGAAACCCUGAUGGUGCGACGCCGCGUGGGGGAAUGAAGGUCUUCGGAUUGUAAACCCCUGUCAUGUGGGAGAAAAUUAAAAAGAUAGUACCACAAGAGGAAGAGACGGCUAACUCUGUGCCAGCAGCCGCGGUAAUACAGAGGUCUCAAGCGUUGUUCGGAAUCACUGGGCGUAAAGCGUGCGUAGGCUGUUUCGUAAGUCGUGUGUGAAAGGCGCGGGCUCAACCCGCGGACGGCACAUGAUACUGCGAGACUAGAGUAAGGGAGGGGGAACCGGAAUUCUCGGUGUAGCAGUGAAAUGCGUAGAUAUCGAGAGGAACACUCGUGGCGAAGGCGGGUUCCUGGACAUUAACUGACGCUGAGGCACGAAGGCCAGGGGAGCGAAAGGGAUUAGAUACCCGAGUAGUC
rnacentral:rRNA from 1 species